GACGAUGCAGGGCUAGGGUUGGAAGGGGACGUUUGCUGGUUCACCGGGAGGCGAGCGAGUUGGAUGCCACGAGGCGCUGAGGGGCAGCGGUGAGCCGAACCGGGGAACUUUGAGAUCACAGCCUGAAGCAGUGAUGGAGCACCUGGUGAGGGGUGCAGCCCUGCCUGCACAGGUGGAAGCAAUGCAGCCAUGGGGCAGAUGGGGCUGAGCCUGGCUCCACCCCUCCCUCACCUCAUUGAAGGGCUGGCAGCCCCACAGGCAGGGUUUCUUCCUGGAGAUGCCUCUUGUGGAUUGCUGGUCAAGGGGUUCUUUGCCUUUCUCUGAACUGGUAACGGAGGGACUGAUGGACGUUCCUUUCUUUUGCUCUCAUCUGUUUCGGGAAUGCUUCAGUCAGCCCCAAGGUGACGCUGGUUGGGUGACUGAGCGUUGCGACUCCAGAAAUGCCUGGAGCUGAUGCACUGUUCUGUAAAGGGAUUCUGUGUUCUGCAGAGUUCCUCUGCAACUCUUUCUAAGCUCAACACCUUCUUGUGACGUCUCUGUUCCCUCUUUCGUGAUUCUCAUUGUGGGAUCUCCAACCUGGGCCUCCAAACUCACUCCGUCUGCUCCCACGUUGCCGCAGCCCAUUUUAUGACACGUUCCCUCUGCGUCCUCGCGUCCUCCCUGCGUCCUCUGCCUGUGUCCCCUCUGCGUCUCCUGUGCCACGCAUUCAUUCCACCUGUGCUGAGUGUUGUUUGAGGGCACGCAUUUCAAUUCCGUUCCAUGUCUCGUUGGAUCUCCUUCUGUUUUGCGGCUCAAUGGGGUCGAAGGGUUUCUGGGGCUCCUCUGGUUAGUGGUUCCAGCGCUGUGCAAUCUGUGGGGCGGACGCUGGAACGGCAGGAACCCCUUGUUCAUGCGUUGCU